GGCUCAGAUUGAACGCUGGCGGCAGGCCUAACACAUGCAAGUCGAGCGGUAGAGAGGUGCUUGCAUCUCUUGAGAGCGGCGGACGGGUGAGUAAUGCCUAGGAAUCUGCCUAGUGGUGGGGGGAUAACGUUCGGAAACGGACGCUAAUACCGCAUACGUCCUACGGGAGAAAGCGGGGGGAUCUUCGGACCUCGCGCCAUUAGAUGAGCCUAGGUCGGAUUAGCUAGUUGGUGAGGUAAUGGCUCACCAAGGCGACGAUCCGUAACUGGUCUGAGAGGAUGAUCAGUCACACUGGAACUGAGACACGGUCCAGACUCCUACGGGAGGCAGCAGUGGGGAAUAUUGGACAAUGGGCGAAAGCCUGAUCCAGCCAUGCCGCGUGUGUGAAGAAGGUCUUCGGAUUGUAAAGCACUUUAAGUUGGGAGGAAGGGUAGUAACCUAAUACGUUGCUACUUUGACGUUACCGACAGAAUAAGCACCGGCUAACUUCGUG
rnacentral:rRNA from 1 species